rnacentral:sRNA from 1 species
GGUGCUAACGCCCAGCUCCUUGAAAUCGACCAGAAACGGCCCCUGGCAUCCAUUAUCAAGGAAGUUUGUGAUGGGUGGUCGUUGCCAAACCCAGAGUAUUAUACCCUCCGUUACGCAGAUGGUCCUCAGCUGUACAUCACCGAACAGACUCGCAGUGACAUUAAGAAUGGGACAAUCUUACAACUGGCUAUCUCCCCGUCCCGGGCUGCACGCCAGCUGAUGGAGAGGACCCAGUCAUCCAACAUGGAGACCCGGCUGGAUGCCAUGAAGGAGCUGGCCAAGCUCUCUGCCGACGUGACUUUCGCUACUGAGUUCAUCAACAUGGAUGGCAUCAUUGUGCUGACAAGGCUCGUGGAAAGUGGAACCAAGCUCUUGUCCCAAUACCUGGGCUGAAUGUGCUCUACACUGGCUAGGUGUGCACACAGGCACUUACAGUUACAGUUGCAUCGACUGAUUUCCCAUGGGGUGUUCACAUUAAAAUUCAUCUUUUUUGUGGCU